rnacentral:rRNA from 1 species
UGUUUCGGCUAGGGGGCCAUCCCGGCUUACCAACCCGAUGCAAACUGCGAAUACCGGAGAAUGUUAUCACGGGAGACACACGGCGGGUGCUAACGUCCGUCGUGAAGAGGGAAACAACCCAGACCGCCAGCUAAGGUCCCAAAGUCAUGGUUAAGUGGGAAACGAUGUGGGAAGGCCCAGACAGCCAGGAUGUUGGCUUAGAAGCAGCCAUCAUUUAAAGAAAGCGUAAUAGCUCACUGGUCGAGUCGGCCUGCGCG